rnacentral:rRNA from 1 species
AGCGAACACUGGCGGCAGGCUUAACACAUGCAAGUCGAGCGGACCUUUCGGGGUCAGCGGCGGACGGGUGAGUAACACGUGGGAACGUGCCUUCCGGUUCGGAAUAACCCUGGGAAACUAGGGCUAAUACCGGAUACGCCCUUAUGGGGAAAGGUUUACUGCCGGAAGAUCGGCCCGCGUCUGAUUAGCUAGUUGGUGGGGUAACGGCCUACCAAGGCGACGAUCAGUAGCUGGUCUGAGAGGAUGAUCAGCCACACUGGGACUGAGACACGGCCCAGACUCCUACGGGAAGCAGCAGUGGGGAAUAUUGGACAAUGGGCGCAAGCCUGAUCCAGCCAUGCCGCGUGAGUGAUGAAGGCCUUAGGGUUGUAAAGCUCUUUUAUCCGGGACGAUAAUGACGGUACCGGAGGAAUAAGCCCCGGCUAACUUCGUG